GAUGAACGCUGGCGGCGUGCCUAAUACAUGCAAGUCGAGCGAACGGACGAGAAGCUUGCUUCUCUGAUGUUAGCGGCGGACGGGUGAGUAACACGUGGAUAACCUACCUAUAAGACUGGGAUAACUUCGGGAAACCGGAGCUAAUACCGGAUAAUAUUUUGAACCGCAUGGUUCAAAAGUGAAAGACGGUCUUGCUGUCGCUUAUAGAUGGAUCCGCGCUGCAUUAGCUAGUUGGUAAGGUAACGGCUUACCAAGGCAACGAUGCAUAGCCGACCUGAGAGGGUGAUCGGCCACACUGGAACUGAGACACGGUCCAGACUCCUACGGGAGGCAGCAGUAGGGAAUCUUCCGCAAUGGGCGAAAGCCUGACGGAGCAACGCCGCGUGAGUGAUGAAGGUCUUCGGAUCGUAAAACUCUGUUAUUAGGGAAGAACAUAUGUGUAAGUAACUGUGCACAUCUUGACGGUACCUAAGCAGAAAGCCACGGCUAACUACGU
rnacentral:rRNA from 1 species